rnacentral:rRNA from 1 species
AGAGUUUGAUCCUGGCUCAGAUUGAACGCUGGCGGCAUGCCUUACACAUGCAAGUCGAACGGUAACGCGGGGGCAACCCUGGCGACGAGUGGCGAACGGGUGAGUAAUACAUCGGAACAUAUCCAGUAGCGGGGGAUAACCUAUCGAAAGACGGACUAAUACCGCAUACGAUCUACGGAUGAAAGCAGGGGACCGCAAGGCCUUGCACUAUUGGAGUGGCCGAUGUCGGAUUAGCUAGUUGGUGGGGUAAAAGCUUACCAAGGCGACGAUCCGUAGCUGGUCUGAGAGGACGAUCAGCCACACUGGAACUGAGACACGGUCCAGACUCCUACGGGAGGCAGCAGUGGGGAAUUUUGGACAAUGGGCGCAAGCCUGAUCCAGCCAUGCCGCGUGAGUGAAGAAGGCCUUCGGGUUGUAAAGCUCUUUCGGUGAAGACGAAACGGUUCAUGCUAAUAACGUGAACUAAUGACGGUACUCACAGAAGAAGCACCGGCUAACUACGUGCCAGCAGCCGCGGUAAUACGUAGGGUGCAGGCGUUAAUCGGAAUUACUGGGCGUAAAGCGUGCGCAGGCGGUUUGCUAAGACAGGUGUGAAAUCCCCGGGCUUAACCUGGGAAUUGCGCUUGUAACUGGCAAGCUAGAGUGUGGCAGAGGGGGGUGGAAUUCCACGUGUAGCAGUGAAAUGCGUAGAUGUGGAGGAACACCGAUGGCGAAGGCAGCCCCCUGGGUUAACACUGACGCUCAUGCACGAAAGCGUGGGGAGCAAACAGGAUUAGAUACCCUGGUAGUCCACGCCCUAAACUAUGUCAACUAGUUGUCGGGGAAGAAAUUCCUUGGUAACGAAGCUAACGCGUGAAGUUGACCGCCUGGGGAGUACGGCCGCAAGGUUAAAACUCAAAGGAAUUGACGGGGACCCGCACAAGCGGUGGAUUAUGUGGAUUAAUUCGAUGCAACGCGAAAAACCUUACCUACCCUUGACAUGCUAGGAAGCCCGCAGAGAUGUGGGUGUGCCCGAAAGGGAACCUAGAUACAGUUGCUGCAUGGCUGUCGUCAGCUCGUGUCGUGAGAUGUUGGGUUAAGUCCCGCAACGAGCGCAACCCUUGCCAUUAGUUGCUACAUUCAGUUGGGCACUCUAAUGGGACCGCCGGCGACAAACCGGAGGAAGGUGGGGAUGACGUCAAGUCCUCAUGGCCCUUAUGGGUAGGGCUUCACACGUAAUACAAUGGUCGGUACAGAGGGCUGCCAACCCGCAAGGGGGAGCUAAUCCCAGAAAGCCGAUCGUAGUCCGGAUUGUAGUCUGCAACUCGACUGCAUGAAGCCGGAAUCGCUAGUAAUCGCGGAUCAGCAUGUCGCGGUGAAUACGUUCCCGGGUCUUGUCCACACCGCCCGUCACACCAUGGGAGUGGGUUCCACCAGAAGUAGUUAGCCUAACCGCAAGGAGGGCGAUUACCACGGUGAGAUUCAUGACUGGGGUGAAGUCGUAACAAGGUA